AUUGAACGCUGGCGGCAGGCCUAACACAUGCAAGUCGAACGGUAACAGGAAGAAGCUUGCUUCUUUGCUGACGAGUGGCGGACGGGUGAGUAAUGUCUGGGAAACUGCCUGAUGGAGGGGGAUAACUACUGGAAACGGUAGCUAAUACCGCAUAACGUCGCAAGACCAAAGAGGGGGACCUUCGGGCCUCUUGCCAGCGGAUGUGCCCAGAUGGGAUUAGCUUGUUGGUGGGGUAACGGCUCACCAAGGCGACGAUCCCUAGCUGGUCUGAGAGGAUGACCAGCCACACUGGAACUGAGACACGGUCCAGACUCCUACGGGAGGCAGCAGUGGGGAAUAUUGCACAAUGGGCGCAAGCCUGAUGCAGCCAUGCCGCGUGUAUGAAGAAGGCCUUCGGGUUGUAAAGUACUUUCAGCGGGGAGGAAGGGAGUAAAGUUAAUACCUUUGCUCAUUGACGUUACCCGCAGAAGAAGCACCGGCUAACUCCGUG
rnacentral:rRNA from 1 species